GCAUAUCAAUAAGCGGAGGAAAAGAAACCAACAGGGAUUGCCCUAGUAACGGCGAGUGAAGCGGCAACAGCUCAAAUUUGAAAUCUGGCUCUUUCAGAGUCCGAGUUGUAAUUUGCAGAGGGCGCUUUGGCUUUGGCAGCGGUCCAAGUUCCUUGGAACAGGACGUCACAGAGGGUGAGAAUCCCGUACGUGGUCGCUAGCUAUUGCCGUGUAAAGCCCCUUCGACGAGUCGAGUUGUUUGGGAAUGCAGCUCUAAAUGGGAGGUAAAUUUCUUCUAAAGCUAAAUAUUGGCCAGAGACCGAUAGCGCACAAGUAGAGUGAUCGAAAGAUGAAAAGCACUUUGGAAAGAGAGUCAAACAGCACGUGAAAUUGUUGAAAGGGAAGCGCUUGCAGCCAGACUUGCUUGCAGUUGCUCAUCCGGGCUUUUGCCCGGUGCACUCUUCUGCAGGCAGGCCAGCAUCAGUUUGGGCGGUGGGAUAAAGGUCUCUGACACGUUCCUUCCUUCGGGUUGGCCAUAUAGGGGAGACGUCAUACCACCAGCCUGGACUGAGGUCCGCGCAUCUGCUAGGAUGCUGGCGUAAUGGCUGUAAGCGGCCCGUCUUGAAACACGGACCAAGGAGUCUAACAUCUAUGCGAGUGUUUGGGUGUCAAGCCCGAGCGCGUAAUGAAAGUGAACGGAGGUGGGAACCCGCAAGGGCGCACCAUCGACCGAUCCUGAAGUUUACGGAAGGAUUUGAGUAAGAGCAUGGCUGUUGGGACCCGAAAGAUGGUGAACUAUGCUUGAAUAGGGUGAAGCCAGAGGAAACUCUGGUGGAGGCUCGCAGCGGUUCUGACGUGCAAAUCGAUCGUCAAAUUUGGGGCAUAGGGGCGAAAGACUAAUCGAACUAUCUAGUAGCUGGUUCCUGCCGAG
rnacentral:rRNA from 1 species